rnacentral:rRNA from 1 species
GUAGGAGGCAAGCGUUAUCCGGAUUCACUGGGCGUAAAGCGCGUGCAGGCGGUUCGGUAAGUUGGGCGUGAAAUCUCCUGGCUUAACUAGGAGAGGUCGUUCAAUACUACCGGACUUGAGAGUGAUAGAGGAAGAUGGAAUUCCCGGUGUAGUGGUGAAAUGCGUAGAUAUCGGGAGGAACACCAGUGGCGAAAGCGAUCUUCUGGAUCAUUUCUGACGCUCAGACGCGAAAGCUAGGGUAGUAAACGGGAUUAGAGACCCCGGUAAUCCUAGCCGUAAACGAUGUAAACUUGGCGUCGGUGGCUUAAACUCCAUCGGUGCCCCAGCUAACGCGAUAAGUUUACCGCCUGGGGACUACGAUCGCAAGAUUA